AGCGGUGAACCCUUCGGGGGGAUCAGCGGCGAACGGGUGAGUAACACGUGAGCAACCUGCCCCUGACUCUGGGAUAGCCUCGGGAAACCGGGAUUAAUACCGGAUAUGACAUCGCCUCGCAUGGGGUGGUGUGGAAAGUUUUUCGGUCAGGGAUGGGCUCGCGGCCUAUCAGCUUGUUGGUGGGGUGAUGGCCUACCAAGGCGACGACGGGUAGCCGGCCUGAGAGGGUGACCGGCCACACUGGGACUGAGACACGGCCCAGACUCCUACGGGAGGCAGCAGUGGGGAAUAUUGCGCAAUGGGCGAAAGCCUGACGCAGCGACGCCGCGUGAGGGAUGAAGGCCUUCGGGUUGUAAACCUCUUUCAGCAGGGAAGAAGCGCAAGUGACGGUACCUGCAGAAGAAGCACCGGCUAACUACGUGCCAGCAGCCGCGGUAAUACGUAGGGUGCAAGCGUUGUCCGGAAUUAUUGGGCGUAAAGAGCUCGUAGGCGGUUUGUCGCGUCUGCUGUGAAAACGCGGGGCUCAACUCCGCGCCUGCAGUGGGUACGGGCAGACUAGAGUGCAGUAGGGGAGACUGGAAUUCCUGGUGUAGCGGUGGAAUGCGCAGAUAUCAGGAGGAACACCGGUGGCGAAGGCGGGUCUCUGGGCUGUAACUGACGCUGAGGAGCGAAAGCGUGGGUAGCGAACAGGAUUAGAUACCCUGGUAGUCCACGCCGUAAACGUUGGGCGCUAGGUGUGGGGCUCAUUCCACGAGUUCCGUGCCGCAGCAAACGCAUUAAGCGCCCCGCCUGGGGAGUAC
rnacentral:rRNA from 1 species